rnacentral:rRNA from 1 species
AUUGAACGCUGGCGGCAUGCCUUACACAUGCAAGUCGAACGGCAGCGGGGGAGAAGCUUGCUUUUCCUGCCGGCGAGUGGCGAACGGGUGGGUAAUACAUCGGAACGUGCCCUGUAGUGGGGGAUAACUAGUCGAAAGAUUAGCUAAUACCGCAUACGACCUGAGGGUGAAAGUGGGGGACCGCAAGGCCUCAUGCUAUAGGAGCGGCCGAUGUCUGAUUAGCUAGUUGGUGGGGUAAAGGCCUACCAAGGCGACGAUCAGUAGCUGGUCUGAGAGGACGAUCAGCCACACUGGGACUGAGACGCGGCCCAGACUCCUACGGGAGGCAGCAGUGGGGAAUUUUGGACAAUGGGCGAAAGCCUGAUCCAGCAAUGCCGCGUGUGUGAAGAAGGCCUUCGGGUUGUAAAGCACUUUUGUCCGGAAAGAAAUGGCUCUGGUUAAUACCUGGGGUCGAUGACGGUACCGGAAGAAUAAGGACCGGCUAACUACGUGCCAGCAGCCGCCGUAA